rnacentral:tRNA from 1 species
GGGCCUGUGGCGGAAUUGGCAGACGCGGCGGACUUAAAAUCCGCUUCCCCGGAAGGGGGGUGAGGGUUCGAGUCCCUCCGGGCCUA